rnacentral:rRNA from 1 species
AAACUCAAAGAAAUUGACGGGGGCCCGCACAAGCGGCGGAGCAUGCGGAUUAAUUCGAUGCAACGCGAAGAACCUUACCUGGGCUUGACAUGUUCCCGACGAUCCCAGAGAUGGGGUUUCCCUUCGGGGCGGGUUCACAGGUGGUGCAUGGUCGUCGUCAGCUCGUGUCGUGAGAUGUUGGGUUAAGUCCCGCAACGAGCGCAACCCUCGCCCCGUGUUGCCAGCGGAUUAUGCCGGGAACUCACGGGGGACCGCCGGGGUUAACUCGGAGGAAGGUGGGGAUGACGUCAGAUCAUCAUGCCCCUUACGUCCAGGGCUUCACGCAUGCUACAAUGGCCGGUACAACGGGAUGCGACAGUGCGAGCUGGAGCGGAUCCCUGAAAACCGGUCUCAGUUCGGAUCGCAGUCUGCAACUCGACUGCGUGAAGGCGGAGUCGCUAGUAAUCGCGAAUCAGCAACGUCGCGGUGAAUGCGUUCCCGGGCCUUGUACACACCGCCCGUCAAGUCAUGAAAGUGGGCAGCACCCGAAGCCGGUGGCCUAACCCCUUGCGGGAGGGAGCCGUCUAAGGUGAGGCUCGUGAUUGGGACUAAGUCGUAACAAGGUAGCCGUACCGGAAGGUGCGGCUGGAUCACCUCCUUUCUACGGAG